CAGCUACAUUAGAGAAGAGGAUGGAGAACCAGUCAUGUACAGCUAUAUUAGAGAGGAGGAGAGAGAACCAGUCUAGUAUAGCUACGUUAGAGAGGAGGAGGGAGAUCCAGUCUAGUAUAGCUACAUUAGAGAGGAGGAGGGAGAACCAGUCUAGUACAGCUACAUUAGAGAGGAGGAGGAGGAGGAGGAGGAAGAGGAGGAGGAGGAGGAGGAGGAGGGAGAACCAGUUAGGUGUAGCGACAUUAGAGAGGAGGAGGAGGGAUUACCAGUCAAGCAUAUAUACAUUAUAGAGAAUAGGAGAAGGGAAAACCAGUACAGCAUACAUACAUUAGAGAGGAGGAGAGAGAACCAGUCUAGUAUAGCUACAUUAGAGAGGAGGAGGGAGAACCAGUCUAGUAUAGAUACAUUAGAGAGGAGGAGGGAGAAUCAGUCUAGAACAGCUAUAUUAGAGA
ensembl:lncRNA